UUCUUUUUGCCGUAUUCAGCCCUAAAUCGCGCUCGUCUGUUGCUGUCUGGCGAUUUUAGGCCCAAAUCGCUCAUCAGUCGCGGUCUUCUUCGUCAGCCCGAAAUCUCCCCUCUCCAACCCAAAUCGCCUUCAGCCCUAAGCUCGCUUAAUGGCUUCAAUGGAAGGGAAGAUGCAAUGAGGAAGGAGAAUGGUUCCGGUAACUUUGGCGGAAACCAAUCCAACGACCACAAGCUUCUUCUCUGCCGAUGCCACUGAUUCCUCCGACUACUUCGCCGCGAGACGGAAGCUCUAUUACACUAUUUUUUUGGGGCUGCUUGUUGCAGAGUAAUGGACCAGUUUGAUCCCAGACAAUCCAUUGAAAGACGCUAAACAAGGAACUGAAAUUAUUAUCGCCUAUUAGAUAAUGAUGGACAGCCCUCAUGUUUUUGCUACGGCAGAGCAGAUGCUGCCUAUUCUGGGAUGAUGAAAGGUGGAUGAAUUCAUCUGCACUAUCUUUUAUCUUCUAAAUUUAUUUUUACAGUAGCAGUGCUUGAUAAAGUGCUUGUAGUAUUUGUCUCAUGGUUAGAGGAAUACAUAAUUACUUUUGCCUGCUAGUGCUAUAAUGCCAAUAUUUUUUAAGAUCAACACAAUAAUUCACUCAAAGAGUUGGUUUGAUACCGAAUGAAUACUUUUUUAUUGUGGUGGAUUAAUAGACCUACUUCACUCAAAAAGUCGGUAUGUAUAUAGUUGCUUAUUUUAAGAUGAUAUUAUUUUUAUA